UGCUUUUUAGAGGCCUCUGCUCUGCCAGCCUGGGAGUCAUCUUCACCCUCAGGCUGGUAGACUCCAGUCUCUUAGGUCAGAAUGGGAUUAGAGACCCGUUCCUGAACCAGUCACACACAGCGGGUGAAACUGCUAUGAUUGGUUUAGACUUAGAGACUGGAAUGGAUGCUGAAAACAUCGCCCAUUUCAUCUGUUUCUUCAGUCCCCAGAUAGCAGAUGACUGGUAGGAAGAUGAGGCAAGUUUGCGGUCCAUUGUCAUGGAUAGUGGAGACAACACUGGGCCAGAAGUGGUAAGACCUGAAUCCAAGACUCAGCUCUGCCACUUGCUAAAUGGGACUUUGAAUAAACCAUUUCUCUGCACUUAAGUUCCUUACCAACAAAACGAGGGAAGUGGCCUACAUGCCUAGAUAUCAACAUUUCAUGUCACGUAGAGAUCUAGCAUCACAAGAAUCCAAGUCAUCCUCUGUUGCCUUUAAGAUUUCAGCAUGGUGAAGGAAAAGUAGCAGAAGACUGAAUGCAUACUCAGUUUUCAAGCUCUGGAUUUAAUCUUUCCAUAGCUGGAAUUGCCUCCUCCUCAAAAGCCUUAUUUGUUCAUUUAAUUGGGGCAACAUGAAAUAAUGAUGUAUCAUUGACAGAGAACAGGGGGCUUAGGUUCUCAUCUUGGUCCUAGUGAUUACUCUAUGCAUAACCUCAACUUCUUUAUCUGUACAUUGGGAACAAUAAUUCUUACUCCA
rnacentral:lncRNA from 1 species